rnacentral:piRNA from 1 species
UCUCAUUUUUUUUGACUUCAA